rnacentral:rRNA from 1 species
CCGGCACGGGUGAGUAACACGUAUCCAACCUGCCGUCUACUCUUGGCCAGCCUUCUGAAAGGAAGAUUAAUCCAGGAUGGCAUCAUGAGUUCACAUGUCCGCAUGAUUAAAGGUAUUUUCCGGUAGACGAUGGGGAUGCGUUCCAUUAGAUAGUAGGCGGGGUAACGGCCCACCUAGUCAACGAUGGAUAGGGGUUCUGAGAGGAAGGUCCCCACAUUGGAACUGAGACACGGUCCAA